rnacentral:rRNA from 1 species
CCCUUUGGGGUGUGACUGCGUACCUUUUGUAUAAUGGGUCAGCGACUUAUAUUCUGUAGCAAGGUUAACCGUAUAGGGGAGCCGGAGGGAAACCGAGUCUUAACCGGGCGUUAAGUUGCAGGGUAUAGACCCGAAACCCGGUGAUCUAGCCAUGGGCAGGUUGAAGGUUGGGUAACACUAACUGGAGGACCGAACCGACUAAUGUUGAAAAAUUAGCGGAUGACCUGUGGCUGGGGGUGAAAGGCCAAUCAAACCGGGAGAUAGCUGGUUCUCCCCGAAAGCUAUUUAGGUAGCGCCUCGUGAAUUCAUCUCCGGGGGUAGAGCACUGUUUCGGCUAGGGGGCCAUCCCGGCUUACCAACCCGAUGCAAACUGCGAAUACCGGAGAAUGUUAUCACGGGAGACACACGGCGGGUGCUAACGUCCGUCGUGAAGAGGGAAACAACCCAGACCGCCAGCUAAGGUCCCAAAGUCAUGGUUAAGUGGGAAACGAUGUGGGAAGGCCCAGACAGCCAGGAUGUUGGCUUAGAAGCAGCCAUCAUUUAAAGAAAGCGUAAUAGCUCACUGGUCGAGUCGGCCUGCGCGGAAGAUGUAACGGGGCUAAACCAUGCACCGAAGCUGCGGCAGCGACGCUGAUGCGUUGUUGGGUAGGGGAGCGUUCUGUAAGCCUGCGAAGGUGGCCUGUGAGGGUUGCUGGAGGUAUCAGAAGUGCGAAUGCUGACAUAAGUAACGAUAAAGCGGGUGAAAAGCCCGCUCGCCGGAAGACCAAGGGUUCCUGUCCAACGUUAAUCGGGGCAGGGUGAGUCGACCCCUAAGGCGAGGCCGAAAGGCGUAGUCGAUGGGAAACGGGUUAAUAUUCCCGUACUUGGUGUUACUGCGAAGGGGGGACGGAGAAGGCUAUGUUGGCCGGGCGACGGUUGUCCCGGUUUAAGCGUGUAGGUGUGUGUUCCAGGUAAAUCCGGUU